rnacentral:rRNA from 1 species
AGUGAACGCUGGCGGUAGGCCUAACACAUGCAAGUCGAACGGCAGCACAGUAAGAGCUUGCUCUUACGGGUGGCGAGUGGCGGACGGGUGAGGAAUACAUCGGAAUCUACUUUUUCGUGGGGGAUAACGUAGGGAAACUUACGCUAAUACCGCAUACGACCUACGGGUGAAAGCAGGGGAUCUUCUGACCUUGCGCGAUUGAAUGAGCCGAUGUCGGAUUAGCUAGUUGGCGGGGUAAAGGCCCACCAAGGCGACGAUCCGUAGCCGGACUGAGAGGCUGAUCAGCCACACUGGAACUGAGACAGGGUCCAGACUCCUGCGGGAGGGAGCAGUGGGGAAUAUUGGGCAAAGGGCGCAAGCCUGAUCCAGCCAUCCCGCGUGGGUGAAGAAGGCCUUCGGGUUGUAAAGCCCUUUUGUUGGGAAAGAAAAGCAGCAGGUUAAUACCCCGCCGUUCUGACGGUACCCAAAGAAUAAGCACCGGCUAACUUCGUG